ensembl:snRNA U1 U1 spliceosomal RNA
CUAUCACCUGGCGGGGGAGAUACCAAGGCCACGAGGUGGUCCUCCCGGGCGAGGCUUAUCCUUUGCCCUCUGGAUGUGUUGGCCCCUGCGAUUUCCCCAGAGGUUCUACUUGUGGUAGUGGGGACUGCCUGCGUGCUCUCCCUG